AGUUUACAAUGUAACAAUAAUGAAGUUGUCAUGCUAAGCAUACCAAAAACUAGUAAUUUAAAGUAUUAGACAACAACCAGUAAGGGUCUUGCAUAUCUUAAAAGUGCCCUCCUUUUUGUUUGAUAUUGCCAUUUUUAAGAUUUUAAAGAAAGAAGGAAAGAGUUAACAAUCACGACUACAGACCAAUAUGGAAAAAUAAUUAGACAGGAAUAAAAGGAAAUGUUCAGUAAACAUCAAUUAGACAACUGUCUACUGACAUAAAAUACCAUAAGACAUCAAUUAGACAACUGUCUACUGACAUAAAAUACCAUAAGACAUCAAUUAGACAACUGUCUACUGACAUAAAAUACCAUAAGACAUCAAUUAGACAACUGUCUAC
rnacentral:lncRNA from 1 species